rfam:Picea glauca, whole genome shotgun sequence.
GGGUGCGAUCAUACCAGCGUUAAUGCAUCAGAUCCCAUCAGAACUCCGCAGUUAAGCACACUUGGGCCAGAGUAGUACUCGGAUGGGUGACCUCUCGGGAAGCCCUAGUGUUGCACCCU